CUGGGACCUGCUGAGCAUUCGCAGUGAGGCUGAGCAGAGGGAGGUGGAAAAUGCGUUGAAAAAUGUCACUUUCCCGCUCACCAGAGAGCUUUGGUUGGGUCUGCGAAGGUAUCUGAUGGCUGACACCUGGUUUUGGAUGACUGGUGCGUUAGAGAACUUCACCUACUGGGAGAAAAUGUCUUCCUGGAAAGUCACCAGUCCAUGUGGUGCCAUGGACACCAGAGACCCCUUCCACUGGAGGGAUGUCCCAUGUUGCGAGCAUCUCCAUUUCAUCUGUUUGAAAGACAUUCAGAGAGACAGGAAAAAAGUGGAGUUCUUCAGCACCCGCAGACCAUAAACAGAGAGAAGCCCUGGUAUUGUCCCCCAUGAUGGUUUAAAGCUUCUAUAAGGAUUUCCUGGUUUGUUGAUUUAUGCACCCCCUUGUGGACAAAGCGGUACCUUCAAGCUCUGUGAUUACUGUGAUAAAUGUAAAGAAGUGAGGCUACCCUUAUCCACAUGUUCUGGACGUGUCCCAGUCU